rnacentral:lncRNA from 12 species
UGUGAAUAGACAUACGUAUACCAAAUAUAUAGAAGCUGGAGCCACGGUGACUGGGAUUGAACCUUGGCAUACAAAACUGCCAUCAGACUUUAUUGUUUCUGAUACAAACUUUCGUAAGCUGGGGAGACUUCCAGAUGAACUGGAAACCCGGACAUGAAAUCAAUGGCACAGGCAGUAGCAAAGGGUAGGUGUCAUUGCAAAGCAAAGUCUUUGAUGUGAAAGCCUUCUCUUAUCCUCUUAUCUAACCCUUGCCUUCCCAUAGCCGUGUCUCAUAUUGUUCUGUCACUUCAGUA